rnacentral:tRNA from 2 species
AGGAAAAUAGUUUAAAAAAAACAUUUGAUUUGCAUUCAAAAAAUAUUAAUUAAUUAAUUUAUCUUA